UUGCCGAACACCGACGACAGCGACGCCUGUCCGAACGAGACGCUGCGGAUCUUGUCGUCAGCUGACUUGAGCGCGCUCGUCGCCUUGGUGAUGCCGUCGCGGAUGUUCUGCGGCAACAGUGGGAUUUUCCCGACCGUCGCCGCCGACUGCACGAGCAGGUUGUAGAUGACGGCCAUCGUGGCGUCGUUCAUCACGCCCGUGACGCUCGCCNGCGCGAGCUUGCCGAUGCUGGCGAGAUACUUCUGUAGCUCGGCAGUGGCAGCGCUCGACACGAGGGCGCCGAGCUGCCCACCGAAACCGUUCGUGCCGUUGUACUGGGUGGUCAGCAUCCGCGUUGGGCUCCUUGAAGGGCGAUCGCGUGAGCGAUCGAACCCAUCAAAACUACGCGGUUGCUACCUAUCUUGUCAAACGACGUCGACGACGGUAGAGCGCAUAACCACCGCCACCUACAGCAGCCGCUGU
rnacentral:rRNA from 1 species